rnacentral:tRNA from 1 species
GGGGAUAUAGCUCAGUGGCGUAAGCGCCUGGCUGGCAAGCACAGCAUCCUGAGUUCAAUUCCCAGUACCCCCC